AUAUCACCGUAUAUGUGAUAAAGGUACUCCAAACAAACAAUGAGCAUCAAUUAGUCGCGCUGAGACGAUGACUCACUCCCUUGAGCUUCCACAGGUUUUGUUUGUUUUGAAAACGCCUGUCCUGCCAGAUUUUUUAUUCAAACUUUACUUCACGUCUGGUUUGAAUCGGGAAACAAAUACUUUUAAAUAUGCACUUAGAUCUACUAUGUAAGAACUCAAUACAAGACCAUAUUGACCUCAGGAUUCAUAGAUGCAAACAACUUCUCAUCACACCCACAACCUUGGUCAUUGUCCUGUUGGAACACCCAACUGAGCCCAAGACCCAAACUCCAGGCUGAUGAUUUUAGGUUGUCCUGAAGAAUUUGGAGGUAAUCCUCCUUUUUCAAUGUCCCAUUUAAAGCACCAGUUCCAUCGGCAGCAAAACAGGCCCAGAGCAUAAUACCACCACCACCACCAUGCUUGACGAACUUUUCUCCAGAAGGUCUUAGCUUUGUCCAUGUGGGCCCGGCCGUGCACAGCCCGAAAAGGCAACAUGGGUCCUCCCUCCAAUGAGCUCAUCCACUCAUAGGAGGGGCCACAGAAGUCAAAUGCAGUGUGAGCUGAGUGGUAGCGGCCGAAAGCAGGGCACUUGGCGGUCCGAUCCUCAGCUACAUAAGCUAGCUCUUGGGACGUGGAACUUCACAUCGCUGGGGGGGAAGGAGCCUGAGCUAGUGCGCGGGGUGGAGAAGUUCCGGCUAGAUAUAGUCGGACUCACUUCGACAGACAGCAAGGGCUCUGGAACCAGUUCUCUUGAGAGGGGCUGGACUUUCUUACACACUGGUGUUGCAUGCAGUGAGAGGCGACGUACUGGGGUGGAAAUUCUUGUUACUCCCCGCUCAAAGCCUACACGUUUAAUAGUAAGGUGUAUGUAUAUAUUGCAUCGCAUCUCAUAAUCUUGACAACACACUGUGUCCAAUGUUUUCACAAAGAUAAAAUAAGUCAUAUUUUUGGUUCGUUUCAUAGUUAAAACAAAUUUACAUUAUUGCAAUCAGUUGAUAAAACAUUGUCCUUUACAAUUAUAAAAGCUUUUUGAAAAAAAAUCUACUACUCUGCUAUCAUGUCAGCAGACUGGUAGAUCCUGCUGAAAUCCUAUGUAUUGAAUGAAUAAAGAAUCGGUUUGAAUCGGAAAAAUAUCGUUUUUGAAUCGAGAAUCGAAAAAAAUCGAUAUAUUAUCAAAUCGUGACCCCAAGAAUCGAUAUUGAAUCGAAUGGUGGGACACCCAAAGAUUCGCAGCCCUAAUACAUACAAUCAUACAUACAUACAUACAUACAUAGCCCGGCCCACCGGCCAAAUUUUUUUAACCCAAUGCGGCUCCCAGGUCAAAAAGUUUGGGGAUCCCUGCUCUAAACCCUAUCAUAAGACUCAGUUAUCAAACACAUUUUAAAUGUACAAGCAGAAACUAUACAUUAUGGUACUUACAAAACGUUCCACUACACAUCACGUCUUGUUAAAGUGUCUUCAUGCCGGAAAAUGUGAAAUUGACUUGUAAGAAUGCACCCUCUGCUGGAUUCAUAGCUGCUAGAGAUGCGCGGAUAGGCAAUUAUAUCAUCCGCAACCGCAUCACUAAAGUCGUUAUCCACCCGCACCAACAUUUUAUCAACACCGCAACCGCCCGCCACCCGCCCGUUGUUAUAUAUCAGGGGUCGGCAGCUUAUACCAUUCAUAGAUCUAUAUUGACCCGUUUCAUAGAGAAUAAAAGAUAAUGAGAGCCGCAAACAUUUUUGCGACUGUUUGCUGGUGCUUAUUCAGAUAACGAGAUUAAAGGCAUGCUAUGAAGCCAUUGACACCUUCAACAACAUGUACAAACUGUUUUUUUGCCAGUCCAGUAACAUGUUGAGUGCAGCUUCCGCAGACACACGUACAAGAUUGAAAGGCAAUACUGGGUGACACAGAGAACACUGAUGGUUGUGAUAUAAACAAUUUAAACACAACAAAUACCCAGUAUUUUAUUACCAACGCGUGGGGGUGGGGGGCGGGGUUUGGUGCUAGCAAGGUGUAUAAUAUAGUCAGGAAGACUCAUGGAUGCAAAGGAGUCUGGGUAUUUGUUGUGUUACGUUUAUGUUGUGUUACUGUGAGGAUGUUCUCCCGAAAUGUGUUUGUCAUUCUAGUUUGGUGUGGCUUCACAGCGUGGCCCAUAUUAGUAAGAGUGUUAAAAUUGUUUAUAUCACAACCAUCAGUGUACUCUGUAUCACCCAGUAUGCCUCUCAGUCGUGUACAUGUGUCUGCGGAAGCCACAUAUAACAUAUUGCUGGACUGGUAUGCAGUUUAUACAUGUUGAAGAAGGCUUCAAAGGCAACGGCUUCAUAGCACGCCCUAAUUCUUGUCAAAUGGGUGACCGCCAGCAGAUAUUCGCGAGAAUGUUUGCGGCUCCUGUUGUUUCUUUACUUUGUGAUACGGGUCAAAAUGGCUCUUUGAGAGUUAAAGGUUGCUAAUCCCUGAACCAUGAAUAUCAAUUCCGAAUGGUUCAACCGACACACCCCCCGAAUCUAUUUAAAAUCAAAUUUUUCGUCAUGUCACCCGCCCGACCCGCGGAUGAGACCGCAAACCGCGCAUCUCUAAUAGCUGCAGAACUCCAGGAGCCACAAAACCCCUUUUUAUUGUACUUAAAGAAAUCUGUGAAUAAGCAGCAAUCUACUUCAUGACCUGUGAUGUGAGCCACCACAUUUUUAGCAUUUAUGUAAGGACACAUGCAAAGUUUUCAUUGAACAUCGACAUAUAUCGAAUGUGUCUCUAGAAGGCCAUGAUAUGAAUAAAAGUUUUGCCUGGUUUUGACCCCACUGUUGCCAUUUGGACUUACCAGAGCUUCAUUUGGAUUUUCUGAAAGAUCAACCAGCAACUGCAUGAACAGCGACUAAAAAGCAAUACAGAAAACAACAGAGUCAGUCAAAGGAAGUCAAGAGAGUCAAUACUUGCACUGUUGGACUCACCUGGCCCAGGCAGUAUCACUUCUUGUGGACCAAAACUUAGCCGACGUGAAAAAAUAUCAAUCUUAACCACGAGCUGCACACAACCGCACAACCAUGCCAAAAUAAUAUUUUUAUUUAAUUAAAAGAUCCCAUACAAAAAACACACACUGCAUAAAACAAAAGCUGCAGGGAGUGAAAUUCCACCAUAAAUUAAACUGUAAUUAAUUUUAAUAAAAAGACAGAGGUCAUGUAAACAGUGGCGUCGCCGAUAAACUCUUAAUUACCUUUGUAUUCAUUUAGUCCAAACCCAUUCAGAGCACUUCAAUGUACUAAUUUAAUGCCUGAGAGAUUAUUUAACACCACACUUCUCUCGUCAGCACUUAGCCUCCUAAUGCUGACCUCAUCCAAAAGGAUGGGGGGGUGUUGAAAAUACAAGGGAAUCGCUGUACCGUGUGAUAUUAAUAGUGCACGUUGGGAUAAGAACGGCCCAGUUCUACAGCCAAUUUGGCAAACGAUUUUAACAGAGAAAAAAAUACCCAUUACUGCAGCUUGACACAAACACAAAAAAUGUUGGCAAAAAAAAAAAAAGAAAGAGAAAUGCUAUAAUGUGGCAGGAUUCCCUUUGAAAUGUGUUCAUAUGCAUACAAAUGUUUUGUUUGAAUUUUAUGAAGGACUAUCACGGCAACACUGAAAAGAAAAAGACAUUAUACUGAGGGGGAAAAGUCUUAUUAUUAUUGUGGGAAUAAAUACACUUUCACGUAUGUGCUUGCAGUUUAGAGGAAGAGGGCUGUAAUAAUAUAACUGAAAAUGCUGCACACAAAAAAAUACAAAAUAAAAGAUCCUACAGUUCAUCAUAGUCACAUACUUGUAACACGUUUUCCUUUGUUUAAAUCCUCCUAAAUUUGUGGUUUUAUCCUUAAUGUGUAAGCUUUUUAUGUUUUGUCAAAACAAAGUGUUUCUUGUAUUUUUUAUUUGUUUUUAGAACUUUAUAAGUUUGUUGUGACUUCACAAUUAUUAUUAUUUUUUUCUUAAAAUUGUACCGCUUUUUUCCAGUAACAUUUCAGCUUAAUUUCUAGAACAGUGUUUACCACUUUAAACUCGGAAAUUUUAUACAAAGAAUUUUUUUUUUUCUCUUGUACUAUUUUUGACCAAAACAGCAUUGUUCAGGAACAUUUUCAACUUAGUUUGUGUAAAUAUAAAACUACCAUAUUUUUCGGACUAUAAGUCGCAGUUUUUUUUCAUAGGUUGGCCGGGGGUGCGACUUAUACUCAGGAGUGACUUAUGUGUGAAAUUAUUAACACAUUACCGUAAAAUAUCAAAUAAUAUUAUUUAGCUCAUUCACAUUAGAGACUAGACGUAUAAGAUUUCAUAGGAUUUAUCGAUUAGGAGUGACGUAUUAUUUGGUAAACGUAUAGCAUGUUCUAUAUGUUAUAGGUAUUUGAAUGACUCUUACCAUAAUAUGUUACGUUAACAUACCAGGCACCUUCUCAGUUGGUUAUUUAUGCCUCAUAUAACGUACACUUAUUCCGCCUGUUGAUCACUAUUCUUUAUUUAUUUUAAAUUGCCUUUCAAAUGUCUAUUCUUGGUGUUGGGUUUUAUCAAAUAAAAUUCUCCCAAAAAUGCGACUUAUACUCCAGUGCGUUUUUUUUCUUCUUUAAUAUGCAUUUUCGGCUGGUGCGACUUAUACUCCGGAGCGAAUUACAUUGUUAUGUUAUAAUGUGUGUGUUUGAUAUGUUUAUCUGUGUAAUUUUACAACUUCUUUUUUCAUGAGAACUUACAAUUUUUUUCCAAUUAUAUCACAACUUUUUCCCCAUACAUUAUUUGUACUUUAAUAAUGUAACUAAAUGACUUUUUACUCCUAAUUUCACAACUUUUUUUCUAGAGUAAAAAAGUACUAUUUCAUUCUGCUAAAUUUACAAGGUUAGUCACGUAACUAUUUCUUAAAUUUUUAGUCCGGCAGUAAUACUCCUUCAUAAGAUUUUACGCAGUGCACAAGUAAUAACAAAAACAAAAAUGUUGACUCGCGUGAAGCCUUUCAAAAUCCUUACACAAUCUUACUCAAGUGUGCAAAUCAGUGAAGACUUCCAAAGUAAAUGUGCAAUUAGUGUUGAUUACGACUGGCUUCCCUUUAGAGGCACAAAAGCUUGAGGAAUUCCACUUAGAAGAAAAUCAAGAGUUUUCAGAGGCGUCGCGCACACCUAAAAAGUAGUCCAUCUACAUUUGUGAAGUCAUUCAGUUACCUUAAAAAAGCAGGAAAGCCUUAUGAGUGAUUCUCAUGACCGACUCGUCACAAAGGCAGCAGUUUAGUGGUCAGGACCCUCUAGGACUUACUUUCAAAAGUAUGAAAUGCAUCAGUAGUACAGUCAUUCGGUGACAUGCGUGCUACACUAUAGUCCCCAUUUCGUAUUCUAGUCAGGCUUGUUCAACUACAGCACUCCCAGUGGCAGCUUUAAACCAGGUUGUAGUCUUCCAGGUUGCCCUGCAGGAUGUGGUCUUUAACAGCGUGGAAGACAAAGCGAAUGUUGUCCGUGUCGGUAGCGCAGGUGAAGUGGUAGUAAAUGAGCUUUUUGCGGUUCGGAUGCAGGUUGACGAACAUGUUCAAGAUGAAAUCCUGGCCCGCUUUGACGUCCCGCUGCGGACCUGCAUUGGGUCGGAGGGGACAAAAUUACAGUCGGGUUAUUGUCCGUAAUUCAUCUUCGGUGGUUUAGAGGGAUAGCCUCUUUAAUGCUCUCAUCUACUGAAACAUUGUAAUCUUCAGUGGAAAUAAUGACUUGCCCACCACGAGGCACAAAACAGCUGGGGGCUUCUAAUACAUAUCGUGCUGCUGGACAAAGUUUCCUCUCACCGUUAUAUUCAGGAAAGUAGUCAACCAAAUGUGAAUGCAUUAUUUUCUCCUCCAGCAAAUCAAUCUUGUUAAGAAACAAGAUGACCGAGGACUCUUCAAACCAGUCGUAGGUGAUGAUAGUCCGGAACAAAGCCAUGCUCUCCUCCAUUCGAUUCUUAAAAGACAGAAAAAAACAAUAAAUUCAUUAUUAACACAACCCCUGAGUGGUAUGUCUAGAGAUGUGAACUCAAAUAUGCUGCUAGGAAAACUGCAAAUUCUAUUUGUUUGUCAUGACAACAGGCCUGGCAGAGUGACUGAAGAGCUCCCCCUGCAGAUCAAUUAAGCACACUGCCACAGAGGAAGAGUGAAGACAGAUUUGCAACCAGGCGACUUUUAGGCCUUGUCCACACGAACACAGAUACUUAAUAAACAUAUAUGUAUCUCUGCG